rnacentral:rRNA from 1 species
GGGUGAGUAACACGUGGAUAACCUACCUAUAAGACUGGGAUAACUUCGGGAAACCGGAGCUAAUACCGGAUAAUAUAUUGAACCGCAUGGUUCAAUAGUGAAAGACGGUUUUGCUGUCACUUAUAGAUGGAUCCGCGCCGCAUUAGCUAGUUGGUAAGGUAACGGCUUACCAAGGCAACGAUGCGUAGCCGACCUGAGAGGGUGAUCGGCCACACUGGAACUGAGACACGGUCCAGACUCCUACGGGAGGCAGCAGUAGGGAAUCUUCCGCAAUGGGCGAAAGCCUGACGGAGCAACGCCGCGUGAGUGAUGAAGGUCUUCGGAUCGUAAAACUCUGUUAUUAGGGAAGAACAAAUGUGUAAGUAACUAUGCACGUCUUGACGGUACCUAAUCAGAAAGCCACGGCUAACUACGUGCCAGCAGCCGCGGUAAUACGUAGGUGGCAAGCGUUAUCCGGAAUUAUUGGGCGUAAAGCGCGCGUAGGCGGUUUUUUAAGUCUGAUGUGAAAGCCCACGGCUCAACCGUGGAGGGUCAUUGGAAACUGGAAAACUUGAGUGCAGAAGAGGAAAGUGGAAUUCCAUGUGUAGCGGUGAAAUGCGCAGAGAUAUGGAGGAACACCAGUGGCGAAGCGACUUUCUGGUCUGUAACUGACGCUGAUGUGCGAAAGCGUGGGGAUCAAACAGGAUUAGAUACCCUGGUAGUCCACGCCGUAAACGAUGAGUGCUAAGUGUUAAGGGGGUUUCCGCCCCUUAGUGCUGCAGCUAACGCAUUAAACACUCCGGCCUGGGGGAGUACGACCCGCAUGGUUGAACCUCGAAGGGAGUUGAGCGGGGACCCCGCACAAGCGGUUGAGCAUGUGGUUUAAUUUCAAACCAACGCGAAUAUCCCUAAUCUAGUCCUGGUCCUCCAUCUGACCGCCUCUAAAGAAAUAGUUUUCCCCCUUCGCAGGG